GAGAUAUAAUGAAAACUGUCAAGUUUAAGUUUCCAGGAACUACUUAACAUGACUACAACAAGACACAGCUUCCAGGAACUUAACAUGACUACAAACUUUCAUGUUAUUAACUAGACAGAUUGUAUCAAAGGGCAGCAAAAAUUAGCUCAGAAAACUUAGUUAAAACCCAUUAUAAAAGAGAUAUACCACAAGUCCACAAGUGAACUUAACUAGAACAGAUUAAUGCCUUGAAUUGGACAAUAUAUGGAACAAAAGGACAAGUUUUUCUCUUUUGUUGCGAUUACAAGUUGAAGGAAAAUUUCGGCUUUUUCAGAAUUGGUAAAUUGGUCACCCGAAUCAAAAUCAACACGAGCACACAAA